UGGGUGAGGUCACUGUAGCAUUGUCAUCGCUCUGGGUUCCACCCACACUCAGGGUGAGAGGGAGAUUCUGAAGCUUUGUGUUUCUUGCUAGCUAGUCAAAGGAUAGAAAAAUAAUACAUGCCAAAAGAAAUUUGAGGAACAAAUUCAGCCCUGAGACAGGUCACGGAAACAGCCCUCCAGUCUUCCUCAAGAAAUGUAGACUGAAUCAGCAUUUACCCACCCCUGGAAAAACGCAGGAGCUGCGCAUUCCUGGGAUCUCAGCAGGGCUUUUGGGAAGAGCAGAACUGGGCUGGAGUCACGGUUUCUGGGCUGACUCUAGAUUUUCCCCGGCUUUUGCCACCUGUGAUGGCUGGAGAGUAUCUGAAGAUGACAGCCAGUGUCCUUAGCUUGUGAAGAUUGGAUGAUGGCCGGGGCCCUCAGACCCCUUGGCCCCUCCUUAACUGCAGGUCUUCAAAAGCCCAACACCUGUUCGUCAUUUCUGUGGCUUCCCAGGGAGUCUUACUCUUCUGCUUCAAGCUGCUGGGUUUGACUCUGAGCAGUUUCUGUGCAGCCACAAAGAUUCUUAUGUGAGACACACUGCUGCUUCAGAGUGCUCCAACCCAUCUCCCCUGAUUAAACACUAACCAGGGCUGCCACAGCAAAGUGGCUCAAAUGGGUGACGUCAACAACAGAUUUACUUUCUCAUAGUUCUGGAGGCAGGUGUCUAGGAUCAAGGUGGUGGCAAGGCUAUUCCUUCUGUUGCCUCCCUCCUUGCCUUGUGGAUGACCGUCUUCUCCGCGUCUUUCCAAGAUCUCUCCUCUGUGCAUGUCAGUGUCCUUGCUUCCUCUUCUUAUGAAGACACCGGUCAUGUUGGAAUGCAACAGAAGAGAGUGCACGGCUUCUGAGGUUGCAGCUUUUGGGAGAAGCCAUCUACCAUUGAUGACAGACAUGCCGUGUGGAAACCAAACCAGCCAUGUGGAGAGGCUACCUGGACAGAGGCACAGGGCCAGCAGCAGCUGUGGAGACAGACAUGUGAGCAAAGAAAUCAUCUUUGAUGUACAGCCAAGUUGAGCCUUCAGAUGACUCCGAUUUCAGCCACCUUUGGACUGCAACCACAUGAAAGACUCUAAAUAGAAGCCUCCCAGCUGAUCCCGGUUAACCCACAGUGCUGAAGGGGAUAAUAAUAAAUUGUUGUUUUAAGCCA
rnacentral:lncRNA from 1 species